CACCCCGUCUUUGGGGAGUAGCCUUCCUUCCAGCUUUGGAAGGAGAGCGCGUCAACAUCCUCGGCUGUCAAGCCGUGGCGCGUUCGACCGGUCCGGUUUGGCGAGACCAUUGAUGCAUCGCGUCGUUCCUGGUC
rnacentral:sRNA from 2 species